GUCUCCGUAGGUGAGCGUGCGGAGGGACAUUA
rnacentral:rRNA from 1 species